UGGGGAAUUUUGGACAAUGGGCGAAAGCCUGAUCCAGCAAUGCCGCGUGUGUGAAGAAGGCCUUCGGGUUGUAAAGCACUUUUGUCCGGAAAGAAAUCCUUGGCUCUAAUACAGUCGGGGGAUGACGGUACCGGAAUAAUAAGCACCGGCUAACUACGUGCCAGCAGCCGCGGUAAUACGUAGGGUGCAAGCGUUAAUCGGAAUUACUGGGCGUAAAGCGUGCGCAGGCGGUUUGCUAAGACCGAUGUGAAAUCCCCGGGCUCAACCUGGGAACUGCAUUGGUGACUGGCAGGCUAGAGUAUGGCAGAGGGGGGUAGAAUUCCACGUGUAGCAGUGAAAUGCGUAGAGAUGUGGAGGAAUACCGAUGGCGAAGGCAGCCCCCUGGGCAAGUACUGACGCUCAUGCACGAAAAGCGUGGGGAGCAAACNGGAUUAAUACCCUGGUAGUCCACGCCCUAAAANGAUGUCAACUAGUUGUUGGGGGAUUCAUUUUCCUUAGUAACGUAGCUAACGCGUGAAGUUGACCGCCUGGGGGAGUACGGUCGCAAGA
rnacentral:rRNA from 1 species